GACGAACGCUGGCGGCGUGCUUAACACAUGCAAGUCGAACGGGCCUGUCUUCUUUUUUGGGGGUGGGUUGAGUGGCGAACGGGUGAGUAUCACGUGAGUAACCUGCCCUUCGGUCCUGGAUAACCGCUUGAAAGGGCGGCUAAUACGGGGUGGUCCGGUUGGUCCGCAUGGGCUGGUCGGGAUAGAUUCACUGUUUUUGGUGUUUCGGCGGGGGAUGGGCUCGCGGCCUAUCAGCUUGUUGGUGGGGUGAUGGCCUACCAAGGCGGUGACGGGUAGCCGGCAUGAGAGGGUGGGCGGCCAGACUGGGACUGAGAUACGGCCCAGACUCCUGCGGGAGGCAGCAGUGGGGGGUAUUGCACAAUGGGCGGAAGCCUGAUGCAGCGACGUCGCGUGAGGGAGGGAGGCCUUCGGGUUGUGAACCUCUGUUUCCGGUGGUGAAGGCCCUGUCCGUGUGGUGGGGUUGACGGUAGCCGGGGAUGAAGCGCCGGCUAACUACGUG
rnacentral:rRNA from 1 species